AGAGUUUGAUCCUGGCUCAGAACGAACGCUGGCGGCGUGGCUAAGACAUGCAAGUCGCGGGGUGAAAAUGAUCUGUAGCAAUACAGUGAAACACGACCGGCGCAAGGGUGAGUAAUGGAUGGGUAACGUGCCCUGGACACGGGAAUAGCCGUCCGAAAGGACGAUUAAUACCCGAUGAAGUCCCGAUUGCACAUGCAGUUGGGACCAAACGUUGGGGACCGAAAGGCCUAGCGGUCUGGGAUCGGCCCAUUUCCUAUCAGCUAGUUGGUGAGGUAACGGCCCACCAAGGCUUCGACGGGUAGCGGGACUGAGAGGUUGGCCCGCCACAUUGGCACUGAGACACUGGCCAGACUCCUACGGGAGGCUGCAGUAACGGAUCUUCCGCAAUGGGCGCAAGCCUGACGGAGCGACGCCGCGUGCAGGAGGAAGCCCUUCGGGGUGUAAACUGCUGUCAGGGGUAAGCAAGCGACCCGGGUAAAUAAUCCGGGAAGUUGAGUUAUCCCAGAGGAAGCCACGGCUAACUCUGUGCCAGCAGCCGCGGUAAUACAGAGGUGGCAAGCGUUGUUCGGAAUCACUGGGCUUAAAGGGCGCGUAGGCGGUCGAAAAGGUGUCUUGUGAAAUCCCUCGGCUUAACCGAGGAAUUGCGAGGCAAACCGUUCGACUUGAGGCAGGUAGGGGCCGGUGGAACUCUGGGUGGAGCGGUGAAAUGCGUAGAUAUCCAGGGGAACGCCAAUGGUGAAAACAGCCGGCUGGGCCUGUCCUGACGCUGAGGCGCGAAAGCCAGGGGAGCAAACGGGAUUAGAUACCCCGGUAGUCCUGGCCCUAAACGAUGUCCACUGGGUUUGAGAAUCUCUGACGGUUCUCGGGCCGAAACAAAAGUGUUAAGUGGACCGCCUGGGGAGUACGGCCGCAAGGCUAAAACUCAAAGGAAUUGACGGGGGCUCACACAAGCGGUGGAGCAUGUGGCUCAAUUCGAUACCACGCGAAGAACCUUAUCCCGGUUUUGACAUGCAAGUAGUAGGCGCUCGAAAGGGCAACCACUGGUAUCCAGUCCAGAGCUUGCACAGGUGCUGCAUGGCUGUCGUCAGCUCGUGCUGUGAAGUGUUGGGUUAAGUCCCAUAACGAGCGAAACCCUUGUCCUUAGUUGCCAACAGGUAAAGCUGGGAACUCUAAGGAGACUGCCGGUGUUAAACCGGAGGAAGGUGGGGAUGACGUCAAGUCCUCAUGGCCUUUAUGCCCGGGGCUGCACACGUGCUACAAUGGCGUCUGACAAAGCGAUGCAAGACCGCGAGGUGGAGCAAAACGCACAAACGACGCCUCAGUUCGGAUUGUAGGCUGCAACUCGCCUACAUGAAGCCGGAAUCGCUAGUAAUCGCAGAUCAGCUAUGCUGCGGUGAAUGUGUUCCUGAGCCUUGUACACACCGCCCGUCAAGUCAUGGGAGCUGGGAGGGCCCGAAGUCCGCGUGCCAAGCCGCAAGGCGGGUAACGGCCGACGGCCAACUCGGUGACUGGGACUAAGUCGUAACAAGGUA
rnacentral:rRNA from 1 species